rnacentral:rRNA from 1 species
GAUGAGUUCUCCCUGACUCCCUGAGAGUCCUGAAGGAACGUUGAAGACGACGACGUUGAUAGGCCGGGUGUGUAAGCGCAGCGAUGCGUUGAGCUAACCGGUACUAAUGAACCGUGAGGCUUAACCUUACAACGCCGAAG